rnacentral:rRNA from 1 species
CAGUAGCCACGGGAAUACAGAGGGUGCGAGCGUUAAUCGGAUUUACUGGGCGUAAAGCGUGCGUAGGCGGCUUCUUAAGUCGGAUGUGAAAUCCCUGAGCUUAACUUAGGAAUUGCAUUCGAUACUGGGAAGCUAGAGUAUGGGAGAGGAUGGUAGAAUUCCAGGUGUAGCGGUGAAAUGCGUAGAGAUCUGGAGGAAUACCGAUGGCGAAGGCAGCCAUCUGGCCUAAUACUGACGCUGAGGUACGAAAGCAUGGGGAGCAAACAGGAUUAGAUACCCGAGUAGUCCCUGUCUUUAUACA